AAAUAGAUUUGGAGCAACCAGAGAAACCUAAGUACAAAAUAUGCGGAUGAUGAUUACAUAAUUUCGCUUAUGCUUAUUACAUGAAUCAGGUAAAUCUAUGUUAUUAUACAUGUUAGAUUCAAGUUACUAUACACAAAAUUCUAUCCGGUGGAAUUUGUAUUAUGCACCACAUUUCACGUUAUCAAUUGUUUGUACACCAUAUUAUAAAAUGUAAAAGACGUAACACAAGUGGGACGAAGGGAAAAAAAAGUAAUAUACUUCAUAACCAACUUUUGAUCUCUCUUCUCUCGUUUUCGCUCCUUUAAUGGAGUAAUACCUUCAGUACCUAUUGUUUUCUCUAAAAACCCAAAGUAUGCAGCCGGCAUUAGAUCCUUGGAUAUGAUUCAGAGUGGAGGUAAUAUUGAUGGCACAGGGCAAAAGAUUAACAUCUCUUUUAGCUAGUUUUCUAAAAAAAGAAAAACAAAUCAUUUUCGCAUGUCAUACUUGCUUGAUUACAUUAUACGAACCGAAAAGAAAAAUCUCUGGAACGCAAUCUUAAGAGUGAUUCAAAAGGACUCAGUGAUGUGCAUCCUAUUGAGAUAGCUUUAGAAAUCUUUCUUUUCAGAGUUUUAAAAUUCCAGGAUGUAUCUUGGUUGAGUCGAAAACAUCUUUGUUGGUCCUUCUCAAAGAAUGCUAUAGUUGAUCCAGGAUAUUGUUUGUUCGUCUCGUUCUCUCUUCAUUUCUUUUUAUCCUCUGCUUUAGGGUGAUUGCUCCUGGAUCUUUUCCGCUGGAGGUGAGCUUAGCACUUGUGAUUAUUCCUCUCUUAAUCUUUUCUUCUGUAUUCCUUGAAGAACGAUAGGAUCUAAGAGAUCGAGGGUGAUUAUCUUCUUCUUCGUUGUCCUUUAUGUUGCGAUAGGUUAUCGUAGCCGCAUGCAUGGUUGUUCUUUUUUUAAGUAAGUCAAAAUUACUCAAUUAGGCAAUUAUUAAUCACCUGUAUUCUUUAAUGUUUGCUUGAAAACAGUUUUGUGAACCAGAAUCUUACGAAACAUUACGGUUGAUUAGUUCUCUGAAUUGAUGGAUCUUGAAAAAGGUGGGGGUUAAAGCGGGACCGGAACGGCCGAUUCCAUGACAAUGAUAAUUUUCAAAAUUGAUAUUUUUCUUUACUUUGUUUUUUUUCUUUUAAGAAAGAGAGAGGGGCAAUUAAAUCUACCGAAUCAGUUGGGUAUCCAUAAGGAUCGAAUGAGAUAGCUAAAUAUGUGUUUGAAUGAGAUAGUUAAAAACGUGUUAGGAAAAAUUCUCUUUAGCUCUGCCCUUUGGUGGGGUGCCCCAGUGAAGAAAAGAUAAAAGCAGUCAUUUCAAAAAAAAAAAAAAAAAGUAAAUUCUUUUUAGCUAUUACACGCGUCGAGUGUUUUACGGUAAAGAGCUGAAAAGGACACUAUAGUGGGGGUACGUGGAACCAUUUAGGUGGUGUACCAUCCAACUAGCAGGAUCAUGGAAUAGGGACACAACACCAAUUAAAUGUUUUAAUUUUAUUCAAGUUUAAUAAAAGGAGAAUGAAAUAUCCCCCGUCACUUUCUUCUUCCCCCUUCAAGCUUUUCAUCCCCUGACCGGAUUUUUGAGGAAAAAAAGAUGUCCUCAGCUUCUCACCCCGGUCUCUUCAAGGUCAUCAGGAAAUCUGGGUUUCUCUUUCAAUUUUUGUUUUAUUCCUUUUUAGAUGGUUGUUGGUAUUAUUGUAUUUGAUACAAAAACAAUAGGGGACUUGAGGCUUGGAACUAGCUCUUGUAUGUUUUCAUUAGUUUACUGUUAAUGCCUAUCUAUUGCUUAAAUCUUGGAUUUUGAUCCAAGUGAAUCAUUCUUAAUAUUCUUGCUGAAUCCUAAUGGCGAUUUGGUGCGUGUUCUUGUGCUUGACAAUACAAUUAUCUUGUCUUUGCAUCCGAAUGAUGGGUUCUUUCCCAUAUUAGUGGUGGUGCCCUUAAAGUGUUUGAUAAUAGUCCUGAUCUAAUGGGUGUUCCUAUCUUUGUUUUUAAUGUCCUUGUCGUGUCCCUUUCACUUCUAAAAUUCCUAAUUUUCUAGUUAAUCCUUUGAUUUUAAAACCAAUUUAGAAUUGUAAGAUUCACUGCUUUUUCUGCAUCCCACUAAUUUCUUUUAUACCAAAACUUUAAAUCAAUCGGAUCUUUGCCGUGGGAUCAUCUUCUCAAUCCAAGGAUACUCUAAUCAUAGAUGAUACGAUCAAACUAUUACAAGUAAAGGCUGCAGAAACAGGCUAAGAGGAAACCCAGGGACUCGGGAGGGUUGGGGUUCAAAGAGGCAAACAAAGUUAAUCAAGCAAUGAUUAGCAAAAUUGUUUGGAGGUUAGUAAGUCAUCCAGAUGACUUAUGGGCACAAAUCUUAAAAGGAAAAUAUUUUUCAAAAACCAAUAGCUCUCUAUUCCAAGAAGAAAUCACAAGCUUCUUGGAUAUGGAAAUGUAUCUUGCAAGGGAUUGAGCACAUAAAAAAAAUACAACAUACGGGAGGUUGGCGAUGGAACUUCCAUAAACAUAUGGGAGGAUAAAUGGGCUACCUAAUAGGAUAGAGACUCUAGCAAGCUCUAUGCCUAUUGUAAACUCCAAUAUAACACUUGUAUCACAACUUAUCGACUGUGACACAAAGAAGUGGAAUACUAAUAUGUUACAUUCUAUGUUUGACACAUCUCUGGUCAAUGAAAUCUUGAACAUAAGGCUAUAUCUAACAGACAUGGGAACUUUAAAGAAAGAUAAACUUAGACGGGUGCUUACCAAUAAUGGAGAAUUUACUGUUAAAUCUCUGUACGCUAAGCUUCACAAUCAGACAGAUGUAACCUCAAUCAAAACAAAUAAGUUCUGGAAAAAACUAUUGAACAUGAACACUUCACAGAGAAUCAAAUUAUUCAUUUGGAAAUGUUUACAAGACACAUUACCUACAAAAAAGAAGCUAGGAGUAGUCAUGGACGAAGAAAAGAAAUGUGUUUUCUGCAAACAAAAGGAAGAAACAACUUUUCAUUUAUUCUUUGAAUGUGAUUAUGCAACAACAGUAUGGCAGUUACACCCAAUGCCUUGUCAGGGAGUACUUUUUAAUCUCUCCUCUAUGAAUAUCUCUUUUCUAGAUAUGUAUAAUAAAUGGUUGGAGGGUGACCUGAACUCCAUCUCGAUGGCUUUAGCUGCUACAAAAUACUGGUUCAUUUGGAAAGAACGUUGUCUUAGAAUUUUUGAGAAUAAAAAUCGCACAUCAAAUCAAUUAGCUCAAGACAUUUCUAGACAUUAAAACUAUUGGCACCCAAUAUCAAAGUUGUCAUCAAUAGUUCAUAACACCAACACUUUACAUGCUCAAUUACUUUGGACACUUCCAGCCACCAAUUUAUUUAUAUUAAACUGUGAUGCUUCUUGGUUAUCUGCUAAGACUAAUGCAGGUUUUGGUUUUGUCUUGCGAAAUUGGACAAGCACCUUCAAAGGUGCAUGAAUGGGCGUUGCAGGACAGAGUCAGCGGAAGAAGUUGAAGCUGUAGCUCUGCUACAGACUACAACAUUGGCCAUCACUAACAAUUUGAAGAAUCUGGCUAUUAAAGGAGAUAACCUAAACACCAUAAAGUACUUACAAGACAAACCAAACUCAAUCAAAUGGCAAUCUUAGAUGAAGUUAAGAAGUUGGCAGAGAAACUAACCUGUUUUGGAGGAUUUCAUUUUGUGGAUCGAAAAGCAAACAAAGGUGCUGAUAUGCUAGUUAAGAAAGGAAGAAACUCGCCUCAACAGUCUACUUUUUUUGCUGAAACACUACUGUUUUUAAUUCCACCAGUAGCUUUUGACACUGUCAAAGCUUAUGAGAGCUGUAAUAUGAACUCUAAUUAUGUAUCUUUCACUGAAGAAGCUAAUCACACAGAUUCAGUCAUCGGAGGACAACUCAAACAGAGUUACUUCCACACGAGUCUGAAUCUGCAGAUUAGUUCCCUUUGCUCGUAAUAUAUCUUGGUUAUUUUCAAAAAAAAAAAAA